UCGAGUUUCUGAACUCCAAACCUUUGUGAACCUUACCAUCGUUGCUUCGGCGGGAUGCCCCAGGUGCCGCCCGGCACCCGGAUCCAGGCGCCCGCCGGGGGACCCAAACUCUUGUUUUUCCAGUGGAAUCCUCUGAGUCUUGGCAUAAAUAAGCAAUCA
rnacentral:misc_RNA from 1 species